CCUACGGGUGGCAGCAGUGAGGAAUAUUGGUCAAUGGACGAGAGUCUGAACCAGCCAAGUAGCGUGAUGGAUGACUGCCCUAUGGGUUGUAAACUUCUUUUAUAUGGGAAUAAAAUGUUCCACGUGUGGGAUUUUGUAUGUACCAUAUGAAUAAGGAUCGGCUAACUCCGUGCCAGCAGCCGCGGUAAUACGGCGGAUCCGAGCGUUAUCCGGAUUUAUUGGGGUUAAAGGGAGCGUAGGUGGCUUGUUAAGUCAGUUGUGAAAGUUUGCGGGUCAACCGUAAAAUUGCAGUUGAAACUGGCAGUCUUGAGUACAGUAGAGGUCGGCGGAAUUCGUGGUGUAGCGGUGAAAUGCUUAGAUAUCACGAAGAACUCCGAUUGCGAAGGCAGUUCACUGGACUGCAACUGACACUGAGGCUCGAAAGUGUGGGUAUCAAACAGGAUUAGAUACCCCAGUAGUC
rnacentral:rRNA from 1 species